rnacentral:tRNA from 1 species
GUCAUUUUGGCAGAUUAGUGCAUUGAAUUUAGAAUUCAAAUAAGUAAUUAUAUACAGGUGAUA